rnacentral:ncRNA from 2 species
AACAAUAGCUUGGGGUACUGGAACUCCGCAUUGACUCGGAAGAGUCGGUGGAAGACCGGUUGAGAUUAUACCCAUUAACCUGAUUCGGAUAAUGCCGACGUAGGGAACGCUGAUCUCAAGCGCA